rnacentral:tRNA from 1 species
GCUUUAGUAAUUUAAUAAAAAAUAUUGAUCUUGUAAAUCAAAAAUAAAGAAUAUUUCUAAAGUU